AGAGUUUGAUCAUGGCUCAGAACGAACGUUGGCGGCGUGCUUAACACAUGCAAGUCGAACGAGAAAGUUCCUUCGGGGACGAGUAAAGUGGCGCACGGGUGAGUAACGCGUAGAUAAUCUGUCCAGAUGUUCGGGAUAGCCCUUCGAAAGGGGGAUUAAUACCGAAUACGUUAACCUACCAUAAGGUAGAUUAAGAAAGGUGGCCUCUAUUUAUAAGCUAUCGCAUUUGGAGGAGUCUGCGUACCAUUAGUUUGUUGGUGGGGUAAUGGCCUACCAAGACUUCGAUGGUUAGCGGGUCUGAGAGGAUGAUCCGUCACACUGGCACUGAAACACGGGCCAGACUCCUACGGGAGGCAGCAGUGAGGAAUAUUGCGCAAUGGGGGAAACCCUGACGCAGCGACGCCGCGUGGGUGAGGAAGGCUUUCGGGUCGUAAAGCCCUGUCAGGUGGGAAGAAAUGGUUAACAGUUAAUAUCUGUUAGUUUUGACGGUACCACCAAAGGAAGCACCGGCUAACUCCGUGCCAGCAGCCGCGGUAAUACGGAGGGUGCAAACGUUGUUCGGAAUCACUGGGCGUAAAGGGCGCGCAGGCGGCUUGAUUAGUCAGAUGUGAAAGCCCACGGCUUAACCGUGGAAGUGCAUU
rnacentral:rRNA from 1 species